GCAAUGAUGGCAAUUUGAAAAUUUUACUCAACGGUGGAAAUCCUAUUGUAAUAACUUCUGUAAAAGCAGAAGGUAAUACAAGCGCCACGCUUCUUAAAACCGGCAAUUUGGUGUUGUAUGAGAUGAAUUCAGAUGGAUCUGAAAGGCUAGAGCUGUGGCAAAGCUUCGACUAUCCGACUGAUACACUUCUUCCAGGAAUGAAACUGGGUAUUAACUUGCAAACUGGGCACGAAUGGUUUCUCCAAUCUUGGAUUUCUGAUAUCUCCCCUGCUCAAGGUUCCUAUACCUUAGGCAUCGAUCCUAAUGUCUCGAACCGGUUGAUCAUCCGGUGGCGAGGAGACAUCAUCUAUUGGACUAAGGGGAUUUGGCUGAAUGGGGAGUUCGAUUUUUUGGGUUUGGUUUCCGAUGGCUACAACUUCAGCUACGCUUCAAAUGAACAUGAAAAGUACUUCAAUUAUUCUGCAAGUGAAACGAUUACAUCGUUUCCGGAACUAAGACUUACUGCCGAUGGUCUCAGAGGUGCUCUUUCUGUUCCUUGUCUUCACGAAAUACAGUGUGUGAGUGUGAGUGUGAAUGUGAAGCGUCCCAGGUGCAGAAAAGAUUUUUCUAAAUUUGAAUACAAAUAUGGUUUCAUGAAUGGAGAUGGAUUCAAGUUCAAAGAAAGUGAUAACAUGACCUUAAGUGACUGUGAAGUCAAAUGCUUUCAGAAUUGUUCCUGUGUUGCCUAUGCUUCCAUAAAUGAAAGCAACGAUACAGGCUGCGAGAUCUGGAGCAGUGGGACAAAGUUCACGGAGACUUCUUUCACGGAUGAUCAUCGCAUAAUAUUCAUGGCACGUGAACCCAAAGGUAAGUCUGCUUCUAAAAUGUAUGAUACAUCCUAUGGGGAUUGCAAUGCCAAAAAAAAAAAAAAAAACCUACAACUAUUUUAAGAUUUUCAAUUUGAAUUAUGGGAUUGCAGAAAAAAAAUGGUGGCUAUGGUUAAUUGUUGCAAUAGCAGCAGCUAUAGGGGAGACCAUGCUGUGUUUAAUGUGCUAUCUGGCAAGGAGAAAAUACAAGGGAGAAGGUAUGCAAUCUGUCCAACUAUACACUAUUUUUGAUGAUCAACAAUAAUAAUAAUCAAUAGAAAAUGAUAUAUAUUGUAUUUCUGUUUUAUUGUAGUGGAGAAGAAGCAGAUGUCAUUAGCAAUUGCUGUCGGAACGGCUUUGUUGAUACCGCCGUUGUGCUACUUAUGUUAUCUGAUUUGUAGGAAACUCAAGGCCAAAAGGUAAUCACUCGGAACAAAUAUUUUUAGUAUCAAUCGAUCAAGAAUCUGAACUAAACCGUCCAUGAGCUUAAUCACUAGAAACAAUCUUUUAUUUUUUAUUUUUCAUUCUUAAGGAUGGACAAAAAUAAUUCACCAUUACCUGAAUUAUACUUUUCUAUUUGAUUUCUUUCAAUCAGUGGAAAACAUUGUGAAUCGACAAAAGCUAUUACGCGAACUUGGAGAUAAUGCGUCACUUCCCACCAUAUUUGGGAACAGGAAAACACAAGCUAAUAAAGAUCAAACCAUGAAGCGUGACUUGAAGAUUUUUGAUUUCCAAACCAUUGCUGCUGCUACCGACAAUUUCUCACCUGGAAAUAGGCUUGGACAGGGUGGUUUUGGUCCUGUUUAUAAGGUUCUUUUUCUCUUUGUGGUGCUUAUCUUUUUUUCAGUCGAUACAUUUGGAGUAUAAUUACAAAUUAGAGACAAAGCCAGUAUGAUUUCAGGGGAAAUUACUUGAUGGCCAAGAAAUAGCAAUAAAGAGACUCUCAAAAAGUUCGGGACAAGGAAUAGUGGAGUUCAAGAACGAAGCUAAACUCAUUGCAAAACUUCAGCACACUAAUCUUGUGAGGCUUUUGGGAUGUUCUCUCCAGAAAGGUGAAAGGCUUUUAGUAUACGAGUACUUGCCUAACAAAAGCUUGGAUUUCUUUAUCUUCGGUAUGUCCCUCUUCAACAUAUACGUAAAGAUUUUGCAACGAUAUAUUAAUUUCUCUCCCCACUAAACUGCUAAUAGAAACAUUCCAUUUUUUUUUCCAUUGUUCGAUGAGACAGAUUCUAGUAAAAAGGAAUUAUUAGAUUGGAAGAAACGUUUCAACAUAAUCGAAGGGAUUGUUCAAGGACUUCUUUAUCUCCAUAAAUAUUCAAGAUUAAGAGUGAUUCACAGGGAUCUCAAAGCCAGCAACAUCUUACUCGAUGAUCAAAUGAAUCCAAAAAUAUCUGAUUUUAGCAUGGCUAGAACUUUCGGAAUGAAUGAAUUAGAGGCCAACACAAACAGAAUUGUCGGAACACAGUUGUACAUUUAUCACUAUACACACACACACUCUCAUAUAGACACUGUGAGCCUGUGAGUGCAAAGUAUUUUGAAUUUCCUAUCAAAUACUAAUUAGUAAUUAAUAAUGACGUUCAGUUUCAUUUUCCAGCGGCUACAUGUCUCCAGAGUAUGUGAUGAAUGGCAUUGUCUCAAUGAAAUCUGACGUAUAUAGCUUUGGAGUUCUUGUACUCGAAAUUAUAAGCGGCAAGAAGAACAAUGGUUGCUAUGACACAGAGCGCCCCCUGAACCUUGUAGGACAUGUAAGUGUUUGAUCAUAUACCUUUACUGUAAACGUUCAUUCACAAAUGGCCUUCACAAGUUUUGAGAAACUAUUGAUUUACUGAAUCUGAAAAUUUUCGCCUCUUUCAGGCAUGGCAGCUGUGGAAUGAGGGCAAAGCUUUAGAGCUAAUAGAUACAACAUUACAUUAAUCAUGCUCUCCUGAUGAAGUUACGAGAUGCAUCCAUGUGGGUCUUUUGUGUGUCCAAGACAAGGCAACGGACAGACCAACGAUGUCCGAUGUUGCUUCCAUGCUUACUAACGAUACCAUGGCUCUGCCUACACCAAAGCAACCAGCGUUCUUCAUUACUAUUUCAUCUGAUUAUGAAGAGCCAGAAGUUACUGAAAUCAUGUUAGAAGUUUGUUCUGUGAAUGAUGUAACAAGUUCGAGGAUGGGAGCAAGAUAUUUAAUAACACCAGCAACGUGAUCCAUCUACGAUUAUUUGUACGGAUUUUAUGGAUUUAUUUAUUCAUUGACAUUAUUUUCAUAUAUACAAAGUACCAUUAUUAUUAUCUAAUGGUGAUUAUUUUAUUGCCAUUGGCACUCAACCUUGGGCAAUGUUUUUGACAAAUUGGAACUGCGAAUUUUUGGCAGCUUCUAUUAUAUCCAUGUUAGCCAUGCUAAUGCAUUAAAAUUUCAACUCAAGUGACAUUCAAGUAAAAUAUGGAUUUUAUUGCACAAAGAUUAUAACUGUAGGUCUCCCUAUAUAUAUAUAUAAAAGAAGAGUGCUUAUAAGUAGACGUUACUAAAAUUGUUGAAGCUGCACAACUGUAGGGGCCUGAACUAGUGGUUUCAGUCAAGACUCUUUUUUAGUUGGCCACUUUGAGUUGAAAUCCAGGGAUUUCAUUGGCAUCACAUAAUCUAAACUCACCAAUUAAUGAUUGGGGUAAGCUAGAUCCCAUAAGAAACUAUCUGGUAAAGUAUCUCAGUUGUAAGCUCUAAAUAAUGACCUUAUUAAAUUCAAUACACUCUCAGCCUUGUUUCAGCCAUGCUCCUUGCAAAUUGCAUACAAAACAUGCACUGCAGAUUCUCACAAAUGUCCUGCUUUUUAUCAAACCAGAUAACAUAAACCAUACUCAACUCUACAUAGGUACAACCGUAGAAGGAAAGCUAACCAUUAAAUGCGUAAUGUGAUUUCAGCAAAGUGAGUAGUAUAUAAAUAUAGUAAACGUCGGAAAUGGAGUCUGGCAAACCCAUUAGCUGCAUAUUUGACCAGCUGCCAAGUCUCCAAAUGUUCCAAAGAAACACUUGCAUUUUACAAGACAGAAAUCACAUAAGUUGGUGGAAUAAAUAGGAAUAAUAGCUACUCCGGUCACAAUUUCUCCUUAAGCUCAGAAAAGCACUAAUCAAGACGCAACCAUAAUACUCCUUCAGGAAUCAAAAGCCAUCGAUCCAUCAAUUCAGCUCCAUUAUCGUCACAACCUCGAAAGGGCUUGAAGCGUUCAACCUUGACAUCCUUUAAAUAAUGUUGCCAACAUUUGAUAUCACAAUCAUUGCAACAGCUUGUUUUUCUCUGCUUGAGAUUGUUAUCAAGCCACUGCAAUUCACGCAAACGUCAAAUAGCGCUGUUAACAUGAAGUAUGAUUGUGAUCUCAAAAAAUGAGGAACAAAAUUGCACUGCAGUCUGAUUGACUUAAAGGCAAUUAGAUGCUUAGAGUUAACGUGCCGCAGCAAAUCGGCAUUUGCGCUCGUCCACGCAGAAGAAAUUGGAUAAAAAUACUGAAAACGCCAUCUAGCAAAAUUUUAUUAUCAAAUGGGUCUACACCCAUUUGCAGGGCCAUUGUCUUAACUCGUAGAGGGAGUGAAGGGGAACAUCUUCUUCUGAGUUCGUCUAAAUAAAAAAAAAGCCUAAAUAAAUCACAAGAAACAAGUAAAUGGAUAAAAAACAAUUAGGAAUCCUAAGUGAAAGUGAAAAAGACUUAAAAGAAAUAUCGUAAUCAAUUAUGUGGAACAUAUGAACAUACCUCGACACAUUGCGCAGCGUUUCAAUUUGAUUAGAUGCUCCGAGAAAUUUCUUUAAGCUAAGGAACCACCGAGUGUCAGGAUGAUCCGCACAAUUAAAGGAUACAUUUCAUGGACAUGGAGCAUUUGUUGAUAUAAAGGGGAUUGGAUUAUCCUCAAAUUUGAAGGAAAGUAAAUUAGGAGCAUGAACAUGAAUUUCAAUCAAACCAGAGCAGUCACAAAGUCUUUUAAGUGCUUAAGCUAAUUACUUGAGAUCAUAAUCCUUACAAGGGAAAAACAAAGGUUUACGGACAGAUCCUCAAGCAAGGGACAAUUUUGAAAUAAGAUGAUCAAACUGUUGGUCUUUAAGAAAGGAUUCAAACAAGAUUAACUUUUUCAAUGGACAGUUAGCCACGCUUUUUAUAGGUCGAGGCACAAUAUAUGGAUCCGCAUAUCUAAUGGUUAAUUCUUGAAGACUUGGAACAAGAAUUUCAACACUUUCGGGUGACAAUGCUUUCAUUGUUAAAUCUUGAGUUUGCGAGUAUCAGAGAUGCACAAAAACUCCAUACCAAAACAGAAGCAAAUGGACAAAUCUUCAAGUAAAGGGCAUCCAUGGAUAAGGCUUUGGACCAUCUGAUCAUUUAUGUAGACUUUGUGCAGAGUAAUCUGUUUGAGAGAAGGGAGACUUACGGUGAAAGUGAGCAGCUCAAACUUACAACCAACUAGCGUUAAAGAAGUUAACAAAUUAGCAGAAAAGAUUGUACCACAUCCAACAAAAUUUCAUACUCUGAUGGUACCACAUCCAUAUAAAGGCUGAAGGAUUCCAUAAAUAGGUACAGACUCAACUUGAAGGGGGAGUGAAGGGUGGCAGCUUCUGAACUCGUCUAUAUUAAAUAAGACCUAUAUAAAUCACGAGAAAUAAAUAGAGGCAAAAGGAAAAAAAUCUGGAUAAUGGAAAGAAAAAAUGGCACUAAUUGUUUGGGGGAUGUGCUUCGACGAAGACCAGCAGUGAUGAACGGACAUCUAGUAGCAGGGUCCCGCGAACAGGUAUAUCUUGUAAGAGUCUAGUAGCAGGGGAGCAGGAGCAGGAAUAUUCUGCUCGUCCACGAAUAUCUCAUCCGCGAGGCCGAUCUCCUGUUAGAGGCAUAAAGCCAUUCCUGCUAAGGGUUGAGUCGAGGAGACCCAGUCAACGACAGUUGGCGAGACGUGCUCUCCAAUCCGAGAAUCAAGGCACGAAGGCCACGCAACCACCCAUGAUUACAGAAAUAGAGCAUCCACUUUUGAGAGGUGGGAGGAUAACGAGCGUGAAUGGAGGGAAGGUCUGAAUUCAGGAGAGGUCUAUAAAAAGGUAGCCAACGAAGGUAAAAGGGUUAGAAUUUUUGAUAUUGAAACUGAGAGAAAGAAAGCAUUGAAUAAUCCAAAAAACAAGCCUUAAGAUCAUUGGCUAACAUUCCCAGGAACACAAAACCUUUAUUUCUGACUUGAGCGUCGGAGGGUUUACGCCGGGAAAACAACCAGCGUGCUCUGACUUGUUUCUGUGUACGCAGGAAUUUCUGGAGAAGAAAUCAUAGGAGGAGAGAUCCUGAUCGUGGUCGAGUUGAUUGAACAGAGAUCUUGGUCGUGGUCGAGAGAGUAAUCAGAAUCUCGCAUCAACACUAAUAAAAUAUAACAAUCGAAGUUAUGGCACAUAUAAACAUACCUGCUUACAGUUGAGAGAUAAGUGUAGCUCUCCAAUUUGAUUGAAAGCUCCAAGAAAUUCCAUUAAAUUAAGGUACCAACGAUGUCAAUAUCACCAGAAUUCGAAAAGUGUACAUUCAAUGGACACGGAGCAUUUGUUGAUACAAUGGGAAUUGAAUUAUCCUCAAAAUCAAAGGAAAGCAAAUUAGGAGCAUCAACAUUGAUUCUGUUCAAACCACUGCAGUUGUAAACUUCCAAAUGCAUAAGUCGAUCACUUGAGAUUGUAAUCCUUUCAAGGGUUUCCAAGGAGAUUAUGGAGAGAUCCUCAAGCAAGGGAAAAUUUGAAAUAAGAUGAUGAAACUCUCGGUCAUUAAAAUGGGGUAAAAAUAAGACUAAUUUCUUCAAAUGUGGACAUUCAGCCACGUCCAGCAGACCGGGUACUCAGAAAAUGAAAGUUCUAACUGUUGAAGACUGGGAACAUCAAUUUCAACGCUUUCAAGAUCUUGGUACUGAAAAUGAAAUAUCAAAGACUUGAGUUUGUGAGUUUCAGAUAUGCGCAAAUGCAUCAAACCAAAACAGUAGAAAAAGGACAAAUCUUCAAGUACACAGCAUUCAUGGGCAAGGCUUUGGACCAUCUGAUCAUUCAUAUAGACCUCAUCUAGAGAAAGCCUCUUGAGAGAACGUAAAUUUAUGCAAUGCGAGGUCUAUUCCAACUUACAACCAAAUAGCUUCAAAGAAGUCAACAACUUAGCCGAAAAGAUUAUCUGAGGUAAAGUGUAGACAGAAUUUUUAUCUGUUAUAACCUCAAAAUCCAGCUCUAUUACUCCAUAAAUAGAAAAAAGAUACUAGAUUGGAAGAAACGUUUCAACAUAAUUGAAGGGAUUGUUCAAGGACUUCUGAAAUAUGAAUGUGCAACCCAAGAGGGGGGGUGAAUUGGAAUUUUAAAAUUUAUUCUAGCAAAUCCACACAACAAGCAAUCUAAUGUCUUAAUAAGAAUUGAAAGCAAUAAGUUCAAUAAAAGCGCAAUAAUUAAAGAGCAAGGGAGAAGAGAAAUAAACACACGAAUUUUUACGUGGUUCGGCAAUCUCCGCCUACGUCCACGCCUCCAAGCAAUCCAAGCUUGAGGAUUUCACUAUCCAAGCCUUUCCAAGACUUCAACAAUUACAAUUGACUUUGAAGUGUCAAUAAACCUUUACAACAAAGAGAUUAUCUCCCAAUCUCUUCACUCAAGUGUCUCACACACUCAAACUUUUACAAUUGAGAUGAAUAAAUGAGGAUUACAAUGAAACUCACUUAAUGAGUAGAUAUUCAAAAAUGAAGAACAAGAGAAGAUUCAAUGUUUGUAUUUCACAAGUUUGAAGGCUCAAAAUAUCACGUGUGCUUUUUGUUUUUGCUUGUUGGAGAGCUUCAAAAUGAGUUGGAUUUGAGUUCUUAUAGUUUGAGCCCGAAAACUAGUCGUUACUCACAUUCUGGACGUAACCGGCAUGCCGUUUAGCUAUCCGGUAAGCAGCUUAUAUGUUACCGUUAAGGUAAAAUUUUGAAUUUCAAACUAUCCAGCUUGCCGCUUAUGAAUCCGGUAAGCCGUUUAUGCUCCAGAAGCUUACUGGUCGAUAUCCGGUCUGCCGUUGAUGCUAUCCGGUAAGCCGCUUUCGAUUUGGAUACAUUCUGCCUCGUAUCCGGCUUGCUGUUUAUCAGUAUCCGGUAAGCCGCUUGCUACAGUAACUGCUACAGUGAAAUAUUUUUCAAAAUUUAUAGUUUGACCCCAAAACUUUAUAAAACUGUAGUAUGGCCCAAAACGUUAUGAAAGUUUGCAAAUAGGUCCAAUUUCAGAAUUUUAGAAUAAUGCUUUGUCAAUCCCACAAAUUUCUGAAAUUAUGAUUUCACCCAAACUUUGUGAAAUUAUAGAAUGGCUAAAAAAUAUUUAAAUAGUUUCAAAUAGGUCCAAAUCUGAAAUUUUAACAACAUUAUCAAAGCAUUUAAAAUAAUUUCAUUUUAGUCCAAAAUACUUUAAUUCCAUAACAUCAUUUUCUUAUUAUAAAAGCACAAUUCAUAAAUCUUUGCUUAAUAAAUACAUGUGGUUUGUUAUCAUCAAAAUCAAUAUUUAUGGCCAUAUAGGCUAACAACUUCUUUAUCUCCAUAAAUAUUCAAGAUUAAGAGUGAUUCACAAGGAUCUCAAAGCCAGCAACAUCUUACUUGAUGACCAAAUGAAUCCAAAAAUAUCUGAUUUUGGCAUGGCUAGAACUUUCGCAAUGAAUGAACUAGAAGCCAACACAAACGUAAUUUUUGGAACACAGUACAUAUACAAAACACACUCGCUCUAGUGCACGCACAAACUUGUUUCCUUAAUUUAUAAUACUGACAUUGUUCAAUUAUUUUUCAGUGGCUAUAUGUCUCUGGAGUAUGUAAUGAAUGGUGUUGUCUCAUUGAAAUAUGAUGUAUAUAGCUUCGGGGUUUUGUUCCUGGAAAUUAUAAGCGGCAAGAAGAACAAUGGUUGUUAUGACACAGAGCGCCCACUCAACCUUGUUGGAUAUGUAAGUAUAGAAAAUAUCCAUCCACCUAAAAUUUGAGCAGUAUUAGUGUUUGGGGAUGUAUAACGACGAGACCAGCUGCGUUAAGCAAGGAGCUGCCCUGCUCGUAGGAGGGGGACUAGCACGUUAUCCAGGAUCAGAGGUCUGUUAUUUGUUAUCGAGGAGACCCUUGGCUAGAGAUCAUGGUACGAGUAGGAAAUUCUCUUUUAGUCGCCAAAAGGCAUUUCCUGCAAGGGCCAAGGUCGGCGGACCCAGUCCAUGGAAGUUGUUAGAACGUGCGCCACUCUCCGAAAGUUCGGGCAUGAACCCCAUUCAGCCACAACCACCACGCUCAAACGUCCAUUAUGGGGAACUAUGGGGAGUGGUGAACGUGAACCAGGGAGGCCGAAUUUUCAGGAGAGCUAUUAAAGGGGCAAUCGAAAAAGGUAAAAGGGUUGGACACUUAGACACUGAAAUAUUAAAUAAAGGAAAAUCCAGAGGGCAUUUUUAUUGAAACCUCGGGAGAAUUCAAACAGAUCAUAGUACUUUAGAAAUAGUAAUAGAGCCACCGGAUUAGUGGCAAGGAUUUUCCACAACAAACCCAGAUUGCUGACUUGAGCGUCGGAGGGUUUACGCCGGGAAAAUCGCCGGUGUGCUCUGAUUAGUUUUUGUGUGUGCAGGAGCUUAAAGAGGAAAAACAGUAAGCCUUAUGGUCUAAUACAUCUAGAAGGAGCAGCGCGAAAUCAUCCCCAAUCAACUACAAAUUCAAUUGUUGAGGACGAAUUCUGGUCGUGCACGAGUAGACUUGAAAUCCCGUAUCAACAAUUAGUUUAUUAAAUGCAAAAUUUUCCCUGUUUCAGGCUUGGCAGCUAUUGAAUGAAGGCAAAGGUUUAGAGUUAAUAGGUGAUUCAUUGGAUGAAUCAUGCUCUCCUGAAGAAGUGAGCAGAUGUAUUCAUGUGGGUCUUUUGUGUGUGCAAGACAAGGCAAUGGAUAGACCAACAAUGUCAGAUGUUUCCAUGCUUACUAACAGAACCAUGGCUCUGCCUACACCAAAGCAAACAACAUUUUUCAUUAAUAUUUCAUCUGAUUAUCAAGAGCCAGAAGUUAGUGAAAUCAAGUUAGAAAUUUGUUCCGUGAAUGAUGUUACAAUUUCAGGGAUGGAAGGAAGAUAAAUAUACCAUCUUUGAAGAUUUAUGUGGAUUUUAUUUUCAAUAGGUAGUGAUAUACAGUAAUGCAUUUGAUCUAUUCAGUGACGUUGUAUUUCAUCUGAUUAUUUGUUGUCACUCCAAUGAGCUUCAAUUUUCCAGAAAAGCUACUGAUUAACUAAACCUCCACCUUAUGCGCCAAGAGCUAAACCUCGACAAUGUUUUGGAUUAGCACAAGCUAGAAAAUCUUAGAUGUUUUAGCUCAUUUUCAUGCCGUCUAUUAAAUUUUUAUUUUCCACCUUGCUUCAACUCCAAGGUUACAAGAUUGUUUAUCACUCAACAGAGGGGGAAAAAAUUAAAAAAAAAGAAGAAGAAAUCCUCCCCAAAUUUUCCUUCUAUAGUCACACAUCCGGCAUAACUCACUAAACAUUUUACCACUCAUUAACCAGCUUUGAGAACUGAAGCUGCCUGUGUUAUCUUGGAGCCCAUAAACCACGCGCCUUAUGUAACUAACUUUUAACAGAAAUUUGACCUGAUUUGACUUAGGUGAAGCAUGGGCAGCUCACGUGCUCUAGAAGCACAAAAGAUUUAGUAGACAAAGGUGGCGUUUGUUGUUUUGUCUGAAAUCUGAAUCGACCUGAAUUAAUAUGAAUUCUGAAUAGGUCUGAAUGUCUGAAUCUGAAUAAUAUAUUUGUUUUUUGUCUGAAUUUCGGAAAAUAAAUAUUAAGUUGUUUGUUUUUUUCAACUUAAAAAACUGAAAAUAUGUACUUUUACAUUUGUAUCCUUAUUAAAUUUGAAUGUCAAAUAAAUAAUAUAUUAAAUACCACAAUAUUUUUACAUUUAUAAGUAAAACUAUAUUCAAGUGAAUACAUAAUUAUUUUAGAAUUUUAAUAUAUAAAAUACCAUAAAUUUCAAAUUUUAUCGUAUAUAAUAUAAGAAAGAAAAAACAGAGAUAUUUUUAUGUGGGGUAAAUAUUUAUGGGUGAGUUUUGAGAUAGACAUGAAAAAUAAAUUAUAAAACAGGGAUAUUUUUGACAUUAACAAGUAAUUGAGUUAAUUCAGAUUUCUCCAUUAAGUAAAAAGUCAAAAAAAUUAACUUAUUUUAUUAAGUCAAAAUUAUCUAAAAAGUCUUAUUAAGUUAUAAAAAUAAACAUCUCUAAUUAACUUAAUUAAUUAAGUUAAGUCACUUUAAGUCAUUAAGUUAAAAAAUAAACGCCACCGAAAUUUGAAUUGAGCUCUUCUUAAAAAUUGAAAACUAUAAAGAGACAGCCCGAGUUCUCUUCAGAGAUUUGGCUAAUAUUUCUUGUAAACUGUGAGUGCCAAGAUCUAAUUGUCAACAGAGGAGUACUCCAUACAGAAAACUUAAUUUUCAGAUAUUCAUUGCCAUCCGGGAGCUAUUGGCUCCAUUAAUCAUGCUAUGCUAGUGAAAGCAAUUAAUGAAAAGAAGAAAUUAAUUAAUACGUACAACGAGCGCCAAUCAUGUUCUGAUAUGCAUAUAUAACUGAGUUGAGAUUUAUCCUCCUUAAUAAUACUCUAACCCUUAGGCUUCAACGACUUGAACACAAAGCAAUAUUUUAUAUUCGGUUGGUCAAAGGAAAACGCGUGAGAAUAAUUUUCAAAAGUAAUGAAAUCCUGGAAGGUUUUCAAUAUGACGUAUUUUUGAAAAACACAGCAAGCAGAAAAGUAAAGCUUAACUUCCUUGAGGUCAACAGUCAAUGCUGUGGGCUGAUUCCUAUCACCCCUCUACAUCUAUCCAGUCCUGGCUCCCUCAUUUCUGCAAAGUACACACACAGUUUACUAAUGGCUAUCGAACGAAGAAUUGACCUCCUUUUUAGCUUUUCAUUCUUUGUUCUCUUGAUGCGGCCUUGUUGUUCCCAGACUGACAAAUUACUCCGAGGCCAACAUCUCAAAGAUGGAGACGAGUUGGUUUCAGCUUUUGGCUAUUUCAGGAUGGGAUUCUUUAGCCCUGACGGCUCGGAAAACCGGUACUUAGGAGUAUGGUACUACAGGCCUACAGAUCCAUCAGUUUUUGACUAUUACAACAGUGAAAGAAAUAAGCCAGUGUGGGUUGCCAACAGAAACAACCCCAUCUUAGAUAAAUCUGGAAGUCUUACAAUAGACAGCACUGAUGGCAAUUUGAAAAUUUUACACAACGGUGGAAAUCCUAUUGUAAUAACCUCUGUAAAAGCAGACGGUAACACAAGCGCUAGUCUUUUGAAAACUGGCAAUCUGGUGUUGUAUGAGAUGAAUUCAGAUGGAUCUGAAAGGCGAGAGCUGUGGCAGAGCUUUGACUAUCCGACUGAUACACUUCUUCCGGGAAUGAAACUGGGUAUUAACUUGCAAACUGGGCACCAAUGGUUUCUCCAAUCUUGGAUUUCUGACUUCUCCCCUGCUCAAGGUUCCUAUACCUUAGGUAUCGACCCUAAUGUCCCAAACCAGUUGAUCAUCUGGUGGCGAGGAGACGUCUAUUGGACUAGCGAGAUUUGGCCGAAAGGGUGGUUUCAUUCUUAUAGUUUGGUUUCGGAUGGCUACAACUUCGGCUACACGUCAAGCGAACAUGAAAAAUAUUUCAAUUAUUCUGCAAAUGAAACGAUUACAUCGUUCCCAGUACUAAGACUUACUGCCAAUGGUCUCAGCGGUGCACUUUAUGCUGAUGGCAUUGUGAAGAGUCCCAGCUGCAGAAAAGAUUUUUCUUAUAUUGAAUACAAAUAUGGUUUCAUGAAUGGAGAUGGAUUCAAGUUCAAAGAAAGUGAUAACAUGACCUUAAGUGACUGUAAAGUCAAAUGCUUUCAGAAUUGUUCCUGUGUUGCCUAUGCUUCCAUAAAUGAAAGCAACGAUACAGGCUGUGAGAUCUGGAGCAGUGGGACAAAGUUCACAGUGACAUCUAUCACGGAUCGUCGCAUAAUAUUCAUGGCACGUGAAGCCAAAGGUAAGUCUGCUUCUAAAUCGAAAUGUUUGACACGUCGUAAAGGGAUUGCAAAGCAAAAAGAUCUACAACAAUUUUGAAAAGUUUUCUUUUAAAUUAUGGGAUUGCAGGAAAAAUGUGGUGGCAAUGGCUAAUUAUUG
rnacentral:lncRNA from 1 species